GGGGAUAUAGUUCAGUGGUAGAACGCAUGCUUUGCAAGCAUGAAGCCAUCGGUUCAAAUCCGAUUAUCUCCA
rnacentral:tRNA from 1 species